AACAGGAUUAGAUACCCUGGUAGUCCACGCCGUAAACGAUGUCGACUAGCCGUUGGGCUCCUUGAGAGCUUUGUGGCGCAGUUAACGCGAUAAGUCGACCGCCUGGGGAGUACGGCCGCAAGGUUAAAACUCAAAUGAAUUGACGGGGGCCCGCACAAGCGGUGGAGCAUGUGGUUUAAUUCGAUGCAACGCGAAGAACCUUACCUACCCUUGACAUCGUGCGAACUUUCCAGAGAUGGAUUGGUGCCUUCGGGAGCGCACAGACAGGUGCUGCAUGGCUGUCGUCAGCUCGUGUUGUGAAAUGUUGGGUUAAGUCCCGUAACGAGCGCAACCCUUGUCCUUAUUUGCCAGCGAGUCAUGUCGGGAACUCUAAGGAGACUGCCGGUGACAAACCGGAGGAAGGUGGGGACGACGUCAAGUCAUCAUGGCCCUUACGGGUAGGGCUACACACGUGCUACAAUGGCCGGUACAAAGGGUUGCGAAGCCGCGAGGUGGAGCUAAUCCCGAAAAGCUGGUCUCAGUCCGGAUCGGAGUCUGCAACUCGACUCCGUGAAGUCGGAAUCGCUAGUAAUCGUGAAUCAGAAUGUCACGGUGAAUACGUUCCCGGGCCUUGUACACACCGCCCGUCACACCAUGGGAGUGGACUGCACCAGAAGUGGUUAGCCUAACUUCGGAGGGCGAUCACCACGGUGUGGUUCAUGACUGGGGUGAAGUCGUAACAAGGUAACC
rnacentral:rRNA from 1 species